rnacentral:rRNA from 1 species
CUUUCAACAACGGAUCUCUUGGUUCUGGCAUCGAUGAAGAACGCAGCGAAAUGCGAUAAGUAAUGUGAAUUGCAGAACUCAGUGAAUCAUCGAAUCUUUGAACGCACAUUGCGCCCCUCGGUAUUCCGGGGGGCAUGCCUGUUCGAGCGUCA